rnacentral:rRNA from 1 species
GAUGAACGCUGACAGAAUGCUUAACACAUGCAAGUCAACUUGAACUUCGGUUUGGGUGGCGGACGGGUGAGUAACGCGUAAAGAACUUGCCUCACAGCUAGGGACAACAUUUGGAAACGAAUGCUAAUACCUGAUAUUAUGAUUUUAGGGCAUCCUAGAAUUAUGAAAGCUAUAUGCGCUGUGAGAGAGCUUUGCGUCCCAUUAGCUAGUUGGAGAGGUAACGGCUCACCAAGGCGAUGAUGGGUAGCCGGCCUGAGAGGGUGAACGGCCACAAGGGGACGGAGACACGGCCCUUACUCCUACGGGAGGCAGCAGUGGGGAAUAUUGGACAAUGGACCAAGAGUCUGAUCCAGCAAUUCUGUGUGCACGAUGAAGUUUUUCGGAAUGUAAAGUGCUUUCAGUUGGGAAGAAAAAAAUGACGGUACCAACAGAAGAAGUGACGGCUAAAUACGUG